rnacentral:rRNA from 1 species
AGGUCCUACGGGAGGCAGCAGUAGGGAAUCUUCCACAAUGGACGAAAGUCUGAUGGAGCAACGCCGCGUGAGUGAAGAAGGGUUUCGGCUCGUAAAGCUCUGUUGGUAGUGAAGAAAGAUAGAGGUAGUAACUGGCCUUUAUUUGACGGUAAUUACUUAGAAAGUCACGGCUAACUACGUGCCAGCAGCCGCGGUAAUACGUAGGUGGCAAGCGUUGUCCGGAUUUACUGGGCGUAAAGCGAGUGCAGGCGGGUUAAUAAAGUU